GGCACGGCUCGGUUCGGUUCUGCUCCGUUUGGCACAGUUGGGUUCGGCGGGGGUAGGAGCGGCUCGGCUCGGUUCGGCGCCGCUCGGGGCUCAGCUCAGCUCAGCUCGGCAGGGGUCAUUUCUGUUCAGUGCGCUCCAGCUCGCUCCAGCACGGUUCGGUUCGGUUCUGCUCCGUUUCGGUUCAGUUCGGUUCAGUUCGGUUCCGUUUGGUUCCGUUCAAGUUGGCUCGGUUCAGCUCAGCGUGGCGCGGUUCGGUUCGGUUGUGUUCAGCCCAGCUCAGUGCCCGCGGCACCGGUGCCACUGUGCCCACCCCGGGGCUCGGUUCCCAGGCCGAGCACCCUAGAGGAAGAUGCCACCGGGCACAGCCCCACAGCUCCAUGGCCGGGCUGGGGGUCUCCAUCCCCUCCCACAGGCACACAGGCGUGCGGUGCCACCAGAGCCACCCCAUGGGACCGGACCCCGAGCAGGUGAGGUGUGAACCACAUCCAGGUGCUCUCCAGGCCCUACGGGGCUUGGGACCAAGGUGAUCCCUAACCAUCCCCCAACCCGCUGCUGCGUUUGCUCCCUGCCAUGCUGAAUGCACCCAGCGCUGCUCCAGGGGCGUGCCACGAGCAGCAGGUGCUGGGGCAAAGUCCUUCCCUUCCCACCUUUAUGACUUGGCUUGAUUGCUCUGCCAGGCUUUAAUAUUCCACCAGCCCUCUGUGCUCAGUGACCCUGCGACGGAGCAUCGCUGCUCCAUCUGCCAGGCUCUGCUCCCAAAAGCUUUGCUGUCGGAUGGAGGAUGCCUGCGCCGUCGUAGAACCACGUGGUAUGGAUGCAACCCCCUUGGUCCCAUCGGAAAAAACAGAUUUCAUCAGCUACAGGAGGCUCGGCGGGAGGGCAGUGGCCAACAAACAGGCUGGGGUGGUUUUUCUGGGGUGUGGUGGUGGGACCCGGUUGGGUUUGCAGCCUGGCUCUUCCCGGCCGGGGAAUGCGGGGAAUGUUGGCCAGGUAGAGGAGGAGGGAUGUGCCCAGCGCAUCUCCCAUCUUGGGAUGUGGUUUGUGGGGUCCUUAAGGUCCUUCCCAGCAGCAAACUUCAAAGCAGCAUGCAUAGGAACCUCAUUUCACUAGGCUUGGAAGCAGCUCACUAAAGAAAGUUAUUUUUCCAAGGGCAGAAUAGUAAUUUUUGACCACUUCUCUCUCAUUUGGCUGGAUCAGAGAUGGCUCUCUACAAGAAAUAUGGCACUACUUGAGGUCUUCAGCUGCUUUCAGCACCCCAGGUUGCUUGGAGGCUCUCCUGCUUGGAUGCCAAGUAAUGUCCUAAGUGCAUGCAGGUCUGAAUCUGUGGGAGAAGGGGUCACCCAACCAUCCGUAAGGUCCCUCCUUCUGUAAUUUGAUGAUUUACCCACAAAGCA